AUUUCUCCUUAGCAACGUUGUCCUUGUUUAUCACGCUGCAGCGACUUGCCUUCCCUGGGAAGCACGCAGUUCCGACAUCGGCAGCGCCAGGACAGCCCUGCCCUUUCACUGGGGCAGCAGAAACAUUUUCCAACUGCAUCCAGUUACUGACAUUUUGGGCAGCGUGAGGCAAAUAAUGAUAAUGCUGGAGCAAUUAUAGACCCACGUCUUCCUGCAGAGAGGAGAGAUUCACUUGUGACAGACUGUCGUCUGCCAGGGCAGUCACCCUGGGAGGAGAAAAGCAAGAGGAAGAACACGAGCAGCUGGCCUGCCCUGCGCUAACCCUGACACACGAGCUGUGCUCCCUGCUCACCCCCAGUGCUGACACCACUCGGGUCCUCUCUCUUCCAGCAGCCGGAGCGCACAACGUUAAAUAGCCAAAUACGCUUGAGGUUGCACUGUUAGGAACUGGCAAGAUUUAAAAGGAAAGAGGGGAGGGGCAACACCACUCUCCCCCACCCUAGUGCAAACAAGUUGUGCUAUUGGCCGUAGAAAUGGCGUAAGUAUCUAGAAAUGAAGGCGAGUAGCCACAGGUAAGUAAAAACA